rnacentral:ncRNA from 1 species
UUUAAGUUUUACUUAUAAGGUUGAAAAUUUGAUUAUGAUUUAUAGUAGAUUUAAAAUGGUGUUAUCUAUUUUUGAUUCACUGAGUAGGCAAUAAGUUUUUACCUCGGCACAUUAUCGUUUGUAGAAUUUUUGUUCCAGAAUAAUCGGCUAGACUUAAUAAACUUGGACUCUAAUUAUUGUUAAAUUGGAAAUUUUUUUUUGAUUACUUAUUUUUUAGGGUAAAAUCAGAGAUUUUUUUUUUAUUUUUUUCUAAUUUUUAAAAUUUGGUGAACAAACCAGAUUAGUACCUGGUUAGACAAAAAUUAAAAGAGCAGAAGUAAAGUUAUAUUUAAACUGUAAGAAUAUUGGCAGGUUUUUAAAUUAUCUUUGGAGGUUGAGUAGUAAUUGAGAACCCUCAUUAACAACUUUUUUUAUAGGCGCAUGUAUGAUCGUUUAUUCUAUUCUUAAGGAUUAUAAUUUUAGAUUUUUUUUCUAUAAAAAUAGAUAGAUAUCUGGUUUAUAAAAAAGAUUUAAUUUGACCUACAAUAUAGUAUUAUGUGGAAAUAGGAUGUUGUGUUCUAUUGAAAAUGUAAAAGACAGUAAAAUUCUUUUUAUGGGAAUUUGAAGUUUAUUUAAAAACGGUACAAAUCAUCCAUCAAUUGCCUAAAGGGGAGUAAGUUGUAGUAAAGUAGAGGUAGGGGAACCUGUCUCUAGAAAAUA